GACUGCUGCUAACACCCUGAACAAGCCCAAUCUCAAGCCAAGCAGGGCCGGGCCUGGUCAGUACUUGGAUGGGAGACCGCUUGGGAAUACCAGGUGCUGUAAGCU
rnacentral:rRNA from 1 species